rnacentral:rRNA from 1 species
UACUGGUGGCAGCAGUGGGGAAUAUUGGGCAAUGGGCGCAAGCCUGACCCAGCAACGCCGCGUGAAGGAAGAAGGCUUUCGGGUUGUAAACUUCUUUUCUCAGGGACGAAGCAAGUGACGGUACCUGAGGAAUAAGCCACGGCUAACUACGUGCCAGCAGCCGCGGUAAUACGUAGGUGGCAAGCGUUAUCCGGAUUUACUGGGUGUAAAGGGCGUGUAGGCGGGACUGCAAGUCAGAUGUGAAAACCACGGGCUCAACCUGUGGCCUGCAUUUGAAACUGUAGUUCUUGAGUACUGGAGAGGAAAGCGGAAUUCCUAGUGUAGCGGUGAAAUGCGUAGAUAUUAGGAAGAACACCAGUGGCGAAGGCGGCUUUCUGGACUGAAACUGACGCUGAGGCACGAAAGCGUGGGGAGCGAACAGGAUUAGAUACCCGUGUAGUC